GCUGGGUUUAGACCGUCGUGAGACAGGUUGGUUUUACCCUACUUAAUCAAACAUUUCGGCAGGUUUGCCGAGGGAAAUACGAAGUAGUACGAGAGGAACUUUCGUUUCGCCUCCCUAGCAACAGCGGCCCUUUGAAAAGAGGCGCCGCAAGACCACCAGGCGAUGAUUAACAGCUGAACGCCUCUUAAGCUGGAAAUCAAUCCCGAAGCAAACUUGGGCCUUCUAGGCCACUUGGGCGCAAAACGCGAGCGCGAAAACCAUAAUUACUCAAGUAAUACGCGCGGUAGUAACCCUACCCCUAUGAAAGAGCGGAGCGUCCAAUCACACCCGGAACAGACGAUUCCUUAUGCACGACCUGGUGUAAGUGUUGGAGGAACCUCGGUUCCGACUCACUGAGC
rnacentral:rRNA from 13 species